rnacentral:rRNA from 1 species
CCUUCCUGAUUAUUGGGUUUAAUGGAUCGUAGGCGGCCCUAUUAAUCGUGGGUGAAAACCUGCGGCUCAACCUCUGCCUGCCCCGGAAACUAUGGGGCUGGAGUACUGGAGAGGUGGACGGAACUACACGAGUAGAGGUGAAAUUCGUAGAUUGUGUAGGAACGCCGAUGAUGAAGAUAGUUCACUGGACGGUAACUGACGCUGAAGUGCGAAAGCUGGGGGAGCAAACAGGAUUAGAUACCCUGGUAGUCCCAGCCGUAAACGAUGAUUACUGGGUGUGGGCAUGAAGAGUGUCCGUGCCGAAGCAAAUGCGAUAAGUAAUCCGCCUGGGGAGUACGGCCGCAAGGCUGAAACUCUAGGAAAUUUUGGGGGGGG